CCUAAAGAACCAACUUCUUCUAUAAUAUCCUUGGGUGUAAUGGAAGAUGAUUACACUCAACUUAGAGAGGGAAUAGUGUUGGGAGCUUAUGAAACAGGAAGCUGGUUAGGGUUGAAGCAAAAGAAUAUGAGUUCCUACGGUUGGUUGGGUCUUGGGGAAUCUAGGUCUGAUAUUACACUACAAAUGUGGAGACAUACUUGUUUAACUCUGAACACAAAUACAGGU